GUCUCAAGGGGGUUGCUAAGCCGCAGGAGGAAUGAGUCAUUGCUCUAACUUUCCCCUUCCUCCGUCUGUUGCUUCCUCCGUUUUCCGUUCAGUGAUGCAAAGGUCGAUCUCCCUCUGUACCGCCUCACACUUCAUGCGCGCAGGGUUUCGCGGUGUACUCCUGCAGGAAAAUCAUUUGACAAGCAAGGCUUUCAACUAAGAUAGGUUGCGGGGGAAGGAUCGUUGUUUGAUUUGAAGGAAUUCGAGAUUGAAGCAGAAGUGAGGAUUCCUGUUUUUGUACUUAUUUCAAGUUGGAGGAAAUUUGAGCUCGGGUGUAUGCUCUUAGGUUACCGCAAUAGUCUCGCCACAUGUUUAGGAGUUCGAUCUGUGGUGGCACUCUGAGUUUCGUUUAAGUUGGUGCAAAUGUUUGGCAAUUCUGCUCCGAAUUUCAGUUAGCGAAUUUCAUGUAAUCUUUUUGUGCGACGUACAGUUUGAGGAUGUACCUCGCGUCCAUUUCUUGUUUACAACGUUGAUGUGAAGGUGUCAUCUCUUGCUGUCAUCAGCUAUCGCCGCCGUUA